AUUUGAGGAGGUCAGGAGUUCAAUUCUCCUCUUGUCCAGGGCAUGUAGUGUAGGGGUUAUCGCGCCUCAUUUGCAAG
rnacentral:tRNA from 1 species